rnacentral:rRNA from 1 species
CAGUCGCCGCGGUAAUACGAGGGGGGCAAGCGUUGUUCGGAAUUAUUGGGCGUAAAGCGUGCGCAGGCGGUCCGCUAAGACAGAUGUGAAAUCCCCGGGCUUAACCUGGGAACUGCAUUUGUGACUGGCGGGCUAGAGUAUGGCAGAGGGGGGUAGAAUUCCACGUGUAGCAGUGAAAUGCGUAGAGAUGUGGAGGAAUACCGAUGGCGAAGGCAGCCCCCUGGGCCAAUACUGACGCUCAUGCACGAAAGCGUGGGGAGCAAACAGGAUUAGAUACCCGGGUAGUCCCUGUCUCUUAUAC